CUCCAGACUCCUACGGGAGGCAGCAGUGGGGAAUAUUGCACAAUGGGGGAAACCCUGAUGCAGCAACGCCGCGUGAGUGAAGAAGUAUUUCGGUAUGUAAAGCUCUAUCAGCAGGGAAGAAAAUGACGGUACCUGAGUAAGAAGCCCCGGCUAACUACGUGCCAGCAGCCGCGGUAAUACGUAGGGGGCAAGCGUUAUCCGGAUUUACUGGGUGUAAAGGGAGCGUAGACGGCGAUGCAAGUCUGAAGUGAAAGCCCGGGGCUCAACCCCGGGACUGCAUUUGGAACUGUGUGGCUGGAGUGUCGGAGAGGCAGGCGGAAUUCCUAGUGUAGCGGUGAAAUGCGUAGAUAUUAGGAGGAACACCAGUGGCGAAGGCGGCCUGCUGGACGAUGACUGACGUUGAGGCUCGAAAGCGUGGGGAGCAAACAGGAUUAGAUACCCGGGUAAC
rnacentral:rRNA from 1 species